AGCUCAUGGGAGAAGAAGUCAGAUAUUUCUUGUUCUCCAAGAAAUCGCUUGGGUGUCAACCGCUUUGGUCUUUGAUCCUUAUUGAACUACUGACUGACUGACUGCUUGCUACAUAAAGCUUGAAGAAAUAAAGGCAUUUAUUUUCAUUUGCAGGGGCAUAGAGUUACAGCAAGGUCUAGUAACUGAUUGGUCAGCAGACAUUCCAGAGCCUUAUCACGCAGCUGCAAGGAGCUACGUGCUAGUAAGGGAGUGUGACCAGUAAAGAGCUAAGUGACUGCCUAAGUCUUUUUUUGAACAUGGGUUAAUGAGCCUAUGUUUUGUGAUCCUUGACAACGUCAGAAGCUGGGGAUGGACAUCCCAGGGCCACCCACGUCAAUGUGAGUAUUCUAGCAAGUCCCAGCAAGCAUGGAACUGUACCUUCUGGCAGUUCAGGAAUGAUUGGCAAGCUUGGGGCACCUCGCCAUGAACACAAACAUCCGUGCCCUAUGUUACCUGGCACAGUGCAAGUCACACAGGCUCCCACAAGGCAAACUCAGCCAUCUGCAGAAAGUUUUGUUGAAUGGAAGCGCAAUACUUCUCAAAUUGCUGAGAGGAAAUUCAUCUGGAGGUUUGCACUGACAAUGAAUGGACUGAAAAUGAAGAUUUGGUGAAAAAGAGUUGGAACUCCACACAAAGCAGUCUGCAGUGAGCCCCAUGCAAGGGGAAAGCAGAAGGUCAAUCUGUGAGCUCGGCUCCUAAAACAGUUUUCACACCUCACUGUGUAUUUUUUUCGGCACUAGAGAAGAGGAGAUAUUCGUCUAUUUUUUCAUUAGUGGUAUUUUAUGAAGUAAAAUUAUUUGUCCCAAACCUUAUUGAAGGAUACAAAAGUACUUUCUGUAAUCCAUUAAAAGAUUAGUGUAAAACCAAGUUGAAUAGCCAGUGUGUCGUUCUGUCAUCUGAAACUGGUGUCAUAUUUUAAUCAUAUAAGUACCUGAUAUGUGUUAAUAUUUUGUGAAGUUGUAUUCAUUAAUAUAAUAAUGUAAAUACUAGGUGGUUCAAAUAUGACAGGGACUGAUUUUUUUGUAAACAAGCCGCACUGCGCAGCAGCUGUGCGACCUUUAGAGAUUGUAGCCACAUCCUCCACUCUCCCUCCUGUUAGGGUUAGAACCUGUUCAGUGCUGUCUGGGAGUUGCUAGAGGGAUGAGCAUACAGAAGGUAUCAUGGAGCAUGGAACAAUGCAUUGUAAUCAAAUUCCUCAUUGGAGAAAACGUCCCGUCUGCUGAAAUUCGCCA